UACGGGGGGGGCAAGCGUUGUUCGGAAUUACUGGGCGUAAAGGGCUCGUAGGCGGCCAACUAAGUCGGACGUGAAAUCCCCAGGCUCAACCUGGGAACUGCGUCUGAUACUGGAUGGCUUGAAUCCGGGAGAGGGAUGCAGAAUUCCAGGUGUAGCGGUGAAAUGCGUAGAUAUCUGGAGGAAUACCGGUGGCGAAGGCGGCAUCCUGGACCGGCAUUGACGCUGAGGAGCGAAAGCCAGGGGAGCGAACGGG
rnacentral:rRNA from 1 species